UAUUGAGAAGCUAUUAGCGCUAACCUUUUAAGUUAGAGACCGGGACCCUACCUCCCCCAAUAGG
rnacentral:tRNA from 1 species